rnacentral:lncRNA from 1 species
ACUGGAGCACAGAAAGGCGUCACUGGCCAAAGUCACACACUGGUGCGACUUGUUUCACCCGGGUCAUGAAACCUGCCCGAGAGUCCUGUCCUCCCUUCCCCGGCACAUUGAGCAGCUUUUCCACCUUGCUCUUAAAGCAGUCUGUGUACACAUCCCUUCUCAUUUCCCUUUGGAAAGUUCUAGUAUAAGAGUUAUACUUCUGUAUCACUCCUAGCAACCGUGAGCAUUUCCAGUAUAUGAACUGUGAGUCAUUCUUGUUACUGGUAUUUGAA